rnacentral:rRNA from 1 species
GAUGAACGCUGGCGGCGUGCCUAAUACAUGCAAGUCGAGCGAACGGACGAGAAGCUUGCUUCUCUGAUGUUAGCGGCGGACGGGUGAGUAACACGUGGAUAACCUACCUAUAAGACUGGGAUAACUUCGGGAAACCGGAGCUAAUACCGGAUAAUAUUUUGAACCGCAUGGUUCAAAAGUGAAAGACGGUCUUGCUGUCACUUAUAGAUGGAUCCGCGCUGCAUUAGCUAGUUGGUAAGGUAACGGCUUACCAAGGCAACGAUGCAUAGCCGACCUGAGAGGGUGAUCGGCCACACUGGAACUGAGACACGGUCCAGACUCCUACGGGAGGCAGCAGUAGGGAAUCUUCCGCAAUGGGCGAAAGCCUGACGGAGCAACGCCGCGUGAGUGAUGAAGGUCUUCGGAUCGUAAAACUCUGUUAUUAGGGAAGAACAUAUGUGUAAGUAACUGUGCACAUCUUGACGGUACCUAAUCAGAAAGCCACGGCUAACUACGUGCCAGCAGCCGCGGUAAUACGUAGGUGGCAAGCGUUAUCCGGAAUUAUUGGGCGUAAAGCGCGCGUAGGCGGUUUUUUAAGUCUGAUGUGAAAGCCCACGGCUCAACCGUGGAGGGUCAUUGGAAACUGGAAAACUUGAGUGCAGAAGAGGAAAGUGGAAUUCCAUGUGUAGCGGUGAAAUGCGCAGAGAUAUGGAGGAACACCAGUGGCGAAGGCGACUUUCUGGUCUGUAACUGACGCUGAUGUGCGAAAGCGUGGGGAUCAAACAGGAUUAGAUACCCUGGUAGUCCACGCCGUAAACGAUGAGUGCUAGGUGUUAGGGGGUUUCCGCCCCUUAGUGCUGCAGCUAACGCAUUAAGCACUCCGCCUGGGGAGUACGACCGCAAGGUUGAAACUCAAAGGAAUUGACGGGGACCCGCACAAGCGGUGGAGCAUGUGGUUUAAUUCGAAGCAACGCGAAGAACCUUACCAAAUCUUGACAUCCUUUGACAACUCUAGAGAUAGAGCCUUCCCCUUCGGGGGACAAAGUGACAGGUGGUGCAUGGUUGUCGUCAGCUCGUGUCGUGAGAUGUUGGGUUAAGUCCCGCAACGAGCGCAACCCUUAAGCUUAGUUGCCAUCAUUAAGUUGGGCACUCUAAGUUGACUGCCGGUGACAAACCGGAGGAAGGUGGGGAUGACGUCAAAUCAUCAUGCCCCUUAUGAUUUGGGCUACACACGUGCUACAAUGGACAAUACAAAGGGCAGCGAAACCGCGAGGUCAAGCAAAUCCCAUAAAGUUGUUCUCAGUUCGGAUUGUAGUCUGCAACUCGACUACAUGAAGCUGGAAUCGCUAGUAAUCGUAGAUCAGCAUGCUACGGUGAAUACGUUCCCGGGUCU